UGGGGAAUUUUGGACAAUGGGCGAAAGCCUGAUCCAGCAAUGCCGCGUGUGUGAAGAAGGCCUUCGGGUUGUAAAGCACUUUUGUCCGGAAAGAAAUCCUUGGCUCUAAUACAGUCGGGGGAUGACGGUACCGGAAGAAUAAGCACCGGCUAACUACGUGCCAGCAGCCGCGGUAAUACGUAGGGUGCAAGCGUUAAUCGGAAUUACUGGGCGUAAAGCGUGCGCAGGCGGUUUGCUAAGACCGAUGUGAAAUCCCCGGGCUCAACCUGGGAACUGCAUUGGUGACUGGCAGGCUAGAGUAUGGCAGAGGGGGGUAGAAUUCCACGUGUAGCAGUGAAAUGCGUAGAGAUGUGGAGGAAUACCGAUGGCGAAGGCAGCCCCCUGGGCCAAUACUGACGCUCAUGCACGAAAGCGUGGGGAGCAAAACAGGAUUAGAUACCCUGGUAGUCCACGCCCUAAAACGAUGUCAACUAGUUGUUGGGGAUUCAUUUCCUUAGUAACGUAGCUAACGCGUGAAGUUGACCGCCUGGGGAGUAUGGUCGCAAGAUUAAAACUCAAAUGAAUUGACGGGGUCAUAGCUGUUUCCU
rnacentral:rRNA from 1 species